UAAUGGAAAUAUACCUCGUUGAGGAGGACGUACAUAUUGUUUUGCGGAACUAAAAUUCAUGCUUGACAUCUUGUUUUUUUCUUUUCUUCUGUAAUUUUUGUUUUUACACUAGUGUGAAAUGAAUCAAGGAAGGGAGAAAGAGU
rnacentral:ribozyme from 1 species